CUAUGGAAACCAGCGAUAUGUAGUGAACAAGCCAAUUUGUUAAAAAGUAAAAAAAAAACACAAAUGCAAAAUUAUUUUAAAAAAAAACAUGACUUUUAUCUUUUGUGAAAAAAAUAAAAAAAAAAAAUUCAACGGAAAGUCAAGAGAUGAAAAAAGAAAAAAAAAAAAAAAAGGACUAACUAAAUAAACGCACGUUUCUUUUUAUUACCUGGGUAUAUAUGUUAAUAUUUAUUAUAUGAUAAUUAGAUUAAUCGAGAUACGUAUUAUCAAAAAAAAUCUAAUUAAAAAAAUAUAAAAUAAAAUAAUAAUAAUAAAAAAUAGGAGGGCCAUAGAAGAAAAAAUAAAAAAUAAAUAUAAAAGGCCACACAAAUAAUGCACAUAUUAUCUUAAUAAUAAACAUUAUUGACAAAUUUAUGUUUUUUUUAAAUAUAAAAAUACAUAAGUAAUAGUUAAAAUUCUAAAUGAAAAGAAAAAGAAGGUUUUUUUGAAUGUUUUAUAUAAUAUUUUUGUACUUUUUUUUAUAUGUAUUUAUUAUUUAUACGAUAUUAAUUAUUUAUUAAAAAAGAUAUCUUUUAACCUAAUUUAUAAUUUUUUACUAGUUAUUUAUUUAAAUAUAUUUAUAUUAGUUUUGAUUAUUAUCAUCGGUUGAAAUGGAAAUAAUUGAAAUCGAUGCCUUGAGUAAUUCAAUCGCCGGUUCAGUUCUGAUAACUAUGAUUACGACUCUUUACCCAUAGUGAAUAUGGGUCAUACAUUUAUAUUUUUUAAAUAUUUUUUUGGUUUAGUUCUGUAUAUAAAAGAAAACUUAAAAAAUAAGCAAAAAGGUUUACUUUCGCCAUCUGUAUCCGCAUAAAAUCUAGAUGUGCUUCAUCUUUAUUAGUCAUUAGAUAUAUAAUGGUUAGUGGUUCAUUAAUUUUGUAGUGAUAUAAUCUUAGAAUUGGCGCAAGUGGUAAUUAUUUUACCACGAGGGGUCUUAUGAAAAUUUUGAUUGGGGGGUUGACUCUCAUUCUACUAUACAAGGCUUUACCCUAGUUUUAAAUGGGCUUCCGCUUCUGAACGGUAGUUGGUGUAGUGGAUUGGAUAGGUUAUAAAAAAAAAAUGGAGAAUUACGUAAAGAACCCUAGGUUUUAAUUAUGGGAACAAAUUAAAUUCUACAGUUUCAAUUAUAACAAAUUAAACCUUGUAGUUUUAAUUUGGUAAUAAUUUAAACAAUCUAUUAAUCUUUGUUUAUCUAGGGUUAAUAAAACCAAUCGGUUUCUGCCCAAAAUGCAUGAAAAGACUUCGUAUAAUACUAGCUCAUUUUAAAGCCCUGAUCGAAUCAAUGUAAGAAAACGACUUCGUAUGAUACUAGCCCAUUUUAAAACCCUAAUCGAAUCAAUUAGUAAGAUAAAUUAAAGAGUUUGAAUUUUAUAUUUAUUUAAAAAUAUCAAAAUUUUAUGCUAUUUUAACAUAAGAAUAGAUUAGGGUUGUAAAAAAAAGAAAAAUCCUGUAUGACGUGAUUUCAGUACAUUUUGAGAGGGAACAAGUUGGUUCUGUUAACUCUAGGUAGAUGAAGGCUAACAGAUAGUUUAAAUUAUUAUUAAAUUAAAAUUAUAUAAUUUAAUUUUCUAUUAUUAAAAAUAUAGGAAUGAAUUUAUUUUCAUGUUCAAACUGUGAGUUUUUUCACAUAAUUCUUCCAAAAAUUUAUGUAGGGAUAUAAAGACAUUGUCUAAGUUCAAGGGCUUAACAAAAGUUCCUAGUAAAAUCUAAGCACACCAAUACCGUAAAUUAACAAUUGUUUUAUUUUUUCGCGUGAUUAAUUAAAAUCUCAUCGAUCCAUUUCCCACGUGAUUAUCGUCAAUUAAUCGCUAUUAACUCCAAGACAUUUUUAGACAUUAUUAAAAUUGUUUUUUUUGAUUUGUACCAUUGUGAGGAUAGAAAUUGUUAACCUAAUUAAUUGUGUUUGUAUUUAUGUGCAAUUUAAUUAAUACAAGUUAUGUGAGAUCAGGAGCGGAGCCAGAGCUUAUGUUCAACAGGGUCAAAAUUAUAGAAUUUAGGAUAAAUUAUUUUGUAGGGUCAAAAUUGUAUUUAUGAUAAAUUAUAUUACGGAUAAUAGUAUAAUUUUUUUUUUAGGAGAAUCAAUUAACCUCACUUACCUUAGUGUAACUCCGUCCAUGUGUACGAUUAUGACUAGUAAACAUAGUUAUCAGAACCGAAUCGGCCAUUGAACCGGUCAAAGCACCGGUUCAACGGUUCACUGUUCAACCACGUUUCAACGGAUUUAUAUUAAUAAUAAUAAAAUUAUAAUUUUUUAUUAUAAAUAAUAAAAAAAAUUUUUUUACCAUUCAUAGUAAAAAUUAAUUUAUAGUAAACUAUUAAAAAAUUCAAAAUUUAAUUCAAAAUUUUGGAGUCAAACUGUAAAAAUCAAAACUUCAAUUCAAAUUUUUGAGUCAAACUGUAAAAAUUCAACUUUAAUUUUUCUGUUAAAAAAUCGGCCGAUUCAACCGGUUAAAAAAUCGGCCGGUUCAACCGGUUCAAUCCGGUUCGCUUGCAUUUUCGGUAAAAUAGUUGCACCGAAUCGAUUUAGUGCCCGGUUCCCGGUUGAACCGGUUGAACCGGCCGGUUCAGUCCGGUUUUAAUAACUAUGCUAGUAAAUGUGGUGGGUAUUUGCAUAAAGAAGUAUCAAUUCAUGUUUGGUUUAUUUCCUAAAUUAGGUCAAACUUAGACCUUGUCCUUAAUUUGUCUUAUUUGUUUCUCAUACAACUUAGCAUUUAUUUGAUAGGAUGAGUUUGAGAUAAAUUUUUACGAGUAAGGGCGUAUGCAGGUGUGGGGGUUUAUCCGCAUAUUUAUCGUAUUUGUUAUCAAAACGACGUCAUUUUGAUAAUAAAACACCAAAACGACGUUGUUUUAUUUUUUUAAACAUGUGGUGCUUUAAGUUGAACGACGUCGUUUCAAUGUUUUAUCACCAAAACGAUAUCGUUUUAGAACGCGCGCGGUAACAAAUGUGGUAAAGUAUGCGAUGACUGUAGCAUUACCCUAAAUUUAAGUCUGGUUUGGGAUAAAUUUCAUUAACUCGGAUUACUUUUUGUUUUUAAUAAUUUUGUAUAUUUUGCAUCAUUUUUUUAUAGUACAAUAUCUCGACUCUACAAAUCUCUAGAGAAACUAAUAUGAGGCUCUUAAAAUUAAUGGUCAAUCAAAUCUCUGGUGAUUUAUAAGGAAACUCGCGAAUUCUUAAACACAAGACCAAGGUCCUCCAAGUUCAGCUACUCUGCUGGGAGUUAAAAGUUCGUUACCUUUUUGAUUCGUCUUUCCUAGAAUAAUCGGUAAAGUAAAAAAAUUACUAAAAAAAUAUUAAAAUUCAAUUCCGCCCAAAUGGAUUUUACAAAGUAUUCCUUUUAUUUUAUUUUUUUUCGCUUUUUUUAUGAAGAUGAACUUUGACCAAAAAAAAAAUUCGGCUGUAUUUGGUUCGAGAGAAAAUAAAAUGAAAAUAAAAAAGUUAGAUGAUCUAAUUGUUCGGAACCAUUGAAUCUUCUACUUUUUUUUUAUUUUAUGUUUUUUUUGCUGAAUAUUUUAUCCAAACACAGCCUAAAGACAAAAAUAAUAUAACUACUGGUUCAAUUUAUCCCAAAUGGGGGCUAAGUUGGAAUAAUCUAAAAAAUGCUUCUUCCAAAAUAUGAUUUGGGUCAAAAGUCCAACCACAUAAGGAUUCAUCGAUGCAAGGGGCUGUUUGGAUGAUUGAGAAAUUGUCCCCUGACAAUUAUGGUCCUGCCUAAAAUGCAAGGCUUCCUGGCUCAUGACAGUUUUAGCAGGUCUUAUUUCACUUCUGUUGGCUAGGCCAGCUGGUUCCAUCACACGAUUGGACAACAUGUUAUAGCACAAAUCCAAACAGGUCGUAAAAAAUCUCAAGUAUUUUGCGCAAAUCACCUCCAAUGGCUCCUUAACGGGUAAAUUACAAUUUACAUCCUUGUAUUUUUAUCAAGAUCUCACUUUUCAUCUUUUACUUUCAAUUAUAUCAAUAAAAUACUUACACUUUAGGUCAAAUAUCAACAUGCCCUUCGGUUCAUCUGCUGGAAUCAAGCAACUCUUAUUUGACUUUCUAUUCUGUCCAUAAUUUCUUCUUCUUCCUCUAUUUUUUCCACCACUUUAUGGAUCAUUUAGUAAUUUACCAAAGACUUUCUUACAGAUUCCUUUUGAAAAAUUUCAUCCAAAUCCAUAGAAGGAAAUAAAAAGAACUUUCUCUUUCCUUUUUUUUUUCUUUCAUUUCACUUUUCAUCGUAAUUUUACUCCAAACGGACCCUAAGUGUAGAGCUUGACUAACACAAUUAAAACUUAAGGUUGUAAAGUAUGAUAUUUACCCUUUUCUUAGGCUGUGUUUGGAUUGAGGAUUUGGUGAGAGAAAUAGAAAUAAAAAUAAAAUAGAAAAGUUAGAGGAUUCAGCAAUCCCGAACCGUUGGAUUCUUUAACUUUUCUAUUUUAUUUUUAUUUUUUUCCACGAAAUUCUUAAUUUAAACACAGCCUUAGAGGAUAUUUGGUAUAACAAAACUUAUGUUAAAAAUAAUUAUUUAAAAAUAGAAAUUGAAAAGUAUCAAAAUAAAAUUUUAAAAAAUAAGUUUUUUUUUUCAUCUUUUUAAAGUUAUUUUUAGCCCAUCAAAAUGAAGUUUUUGUUUUGUUAUAAUCUGAUAGUUUAGAUUUCAGUUUUAUUUUGUAUUUUAUUUUUCACAUUUAAAUUCAGUAGAUUUCUGGAAUUUAAAUGACACGAUCGAGGAAAAAUGAAAUAGAAAUAGAAAAGUUAGAUGAUCCAAUUGUUCGGGACUAUUGAAUCCUCUACCUUUUUCCUUUUGAUAUUCUAUUUUUCUCGCCAAAUAUUUGAUCCAAACACAACGUAAAAACAAAAAUAAAAUAACUAACGGUUCAAUUUACCCCAAAUGGGGGCUAAGAAGGAAUAAUCUCAAAGGCUUUUGUUAAAAAAAAAAAAUGCUUCUUCUAAAAUAUGAUUUGGGUCAAAAAUCCAACUACAGAAGGAU
rnacentral:lncRNA from 1 species